CUAGCCUGCUCAGUGACAUUAAAGGUGUUAAAUAGCCGCGGUAUCCUGACCGUGCAAAGGUAGCAUAAUCAUUAGUUUUUUAAUUGAGAACUUGUAUGAAGGGUUGGACAAAGAAAAAGCUGUCUCUUUAAUUAAGAUUGAAAUUAACCUCUAAGUGAAAAGGCUUAGAUUAUCUAGAGGGACGAUAAGACCCUAUAAAGCUUUAUAAUGUUAAAAAUUCUAUGUAUUUUAUCUUAUAGAAAUGAGUUUUAAACCAUUUAUUGAGUUGGGGCGACAAAGGUAUAAUUUAAAGUAACUGCCGAUAAAUGUUACAAUUAUGUUUGUGUUAAAUAAUGUAUAGUUGAUCCCUUUUAAGGAUUAGGAGAUCAAGUUACUUUAGGGAUAACAGCGUAAUUUCACCUGAGAGUUCUUAUCAAAGGAGAAGUUUGCGACCUCGAUGUUGAAUUAAAAUGUCUUUAUAGUGCAGCAGCUAUAAAAGAAGGUCUGUUCGACCUUUAAUAUUUUACAUGAUUUGAGUUCAGACCGGCGUGAGCCAGGUCGGUUUCUAUCUUCUAGCAAUAAAUGAAGUUGCUUUAGUACGAAAGGAUUAAGCAAUUAAAAUUAUUCUAAAAUUUGAAAU
rnacentral:rRNA from 1 species